UUAGAGGAAGGAGAAGUGGUAACAAGGUUUCCGUAGGUGAACCUGCGGAAGGAUCAUUGUCGAAACCUGCACAGCAGAACGACCCGCGAACGUGUUUUACAACGACGGUGGCGGGGCGCCUCGCGCCCCGCGACCGGGGGAAGCGCCCGUCGUCCCCCUCACGGGGGACGCGGUCGCCACCCCCACAAAUAACGAACCCCGGCGCGAACCGCGCCAAGGAACAUGAACGAAAGAGCGAGCCCGCGAAGCCCCGUCCGCGGGCGCGAUCGCGGGGUCGCGUCUUCAUAUCGAAACUCAACGACUCUCGACAACGGAUAUCUCGGCUCUCGCAUCGAUGAAGAACGUAGUGAAAUGCGAUACUUGGUGUGAAUUGCAGAAUCCCGUGAACCAUCGAGUCUUUGAACGCAAGUUGCGCCCGAAGCCAUCCGGCCGAGGGCACGUCUGCCUGGGCGUCUCACAUCGCGUCGCCCCCCCCGCACACCCCGUGUGCUACGGGGGGGCGGACAAUGGCCCCCCGUGCGCUCCCAGUUCGCGGUCGGCCCAAAAAAUGAGCCGCCGGCGACGUCGGUCACGACAAUUGGUGGUUGAGAAAAUAAAAACUCUCGAGCGUCACGUCGUGCGCGCCGACGUCGCCAGCGAGGAGCUCCAGCGACCCUGACGCGCCGUCACCGACGGUGCCUCGACCGCGACCCCAGGUCAAGCGGGACUACCCGCUGAGUUU
rnacentral:misc_RNA from 1 species